CGUUUGUUUUUUGUGUUAUAUAUUUGUUUUUCAUUCAUUUUUGCUGGUACAUAAACUAGGCCGUUAGUUUUCUCGUUUUAAAUUGUUUCACAUUGUCAUUUCGGGGCCUUUUACAGCUGACUGCAUGUGCGGUAUAGACUUUGCUCAUUGUUGAAGACCGUUCGGUGACAUAUAGUUGUUAACUUCUGUGUCAUUUGGUCUCUUGUGGAGAGUUCCCGUAUUGGCAAUCAUACCACAUCUUUUUUAUAUUUGCACAUUAAAUACAUUGUAAUAGCUUUUAUCUGUAA
rnacentral:lncRNA from 1 species